rnacentral:rRNA from 1 species
CGCGCAGGCGGUCGUACAAGUCGCGUGUGAAAGCCCCCGGCUCAACUGGGGAGGGUCACGCGAUACUGUUCGACUCGAAGGCAGGAGAGGGAAGUGGAAUUCCCGGUGUAGUGGUGAAAUGCGUAGAUAUCGGGAGGAACACCAGUGGCGAAGGCGACUUUCUGGCCUGUUCUUGACGCUGAGGCGCGAAAGCUAGGGUAAGCAAACG